rnacentral:rRNA from 1 species
AAAAACAUUUCCUUUAGAUUAUUUUUAAGGUAAGGCCUGCCCACUGUAAAUAUAAAGGGCCGCGGUAUUUUGACCGUGCAAAGGUAGCAUAAUCAUUAGUCUUUUAAUUGAGGAAUGGAAUGAAUGGCUUAAUAAAAUUUAUCUUUUUUAAAAUUAUUUAAAUAAAUUUGAUUAAAAGUGAAAAUACUUUUAUAUUUAAAAAAGACGAUAAGACCCUAUAGAAUUUUAUUUUAAUAUUCAUUAAAAUUUUAUUGGGGCAGUAUAAGAAUAAAUUUAAUUUCUUUAAAAAAUAAUUUCAAUUAAUUUAAAUAUCUUUUAUUAUAAAAUUAUGAAAAAAUUACCUUAGGGAUAACAGCGUAAUUAUUUUUGAGAGUUCAUAUCGACAAAAUAUUUUGCGACCUCGAUGUUGAAUUAAAAUACCUAAUUUGGGCAGAUUUAUAUUAAGGUAGUCUGUUCGACUAAAAAAUUUUUACAUGAUUUGAGUUCAGACCGGA